CCCCGCGUAGCAUAACGGUGGUGCGUCCGGCUGUAGACCGGAAGGUUGCUGGUUCAAAUCCGGCCGCGGGGA
rnacentral:tRNA from 1 species